rnacentral:rRNA from 1 species
CCACAGCUAUAAUGUACUUGAUGUUGAUUAUCCAACGUGGAUAACUGUGGCAAUUCUAGAGCUAAUACAUGCACCAAAGCUCCGACUUUUGAACGAGCGCAUCUAUUAGAUUAAAACCAAUCGGGUUAUUAGCCCGUUAAUUGGUGACUCUGAAUAGCUAUGGCUGAUCGCAUGGUCUUGUACCGGCGACGUAUCUAUCAAGUGUCUGCCUUAUCAACUUUCGAUGGUAGUUUAUGUGCCUACCAUGGUUGUAACGGGUAACGGAGAAUAAGGGUUCGACUCCGGAGAGGGAGCCUGAGAAACGGCUACCACAUCCAAGGAAGGCAGCAGGCGCGCAAAUUACCCACUCUCAGAAUGAGGAGGUAGUGACGAAAAAUAACGAGACCGUUCUCUUUGAGGCCGGUUAUCGGAAUGGGUACAAUUUAAACCCGUUAACGAGGAUCUAUGAGAGGGCAAGUCUGGUGCCAGCAGCCGCGGUAAUUCCAGCUCUCAAAGUGUAUAUCGUCAUUGCUGCGGUUAAAAAGCUCGUAGUUGGAUCUGCGUCUCAGGACCCGGUCCAUCCAUUGGAUGAGAACUGGGCUCCUAGGCUAAUAUUGCCAGUUUUCCCUACGUUACCUUGAUCGGUUGCGUAUGGUGGCUAGCAAGUUUACCUUGAAAAAAUUAGAGUGCUCAAUGCGGGCUAAUGCCUGAAUACUCGUGCAUGGAAUAAUGGAAUAGGAUCUCGGUUCUAUUUUGUUGGUUUUCUGAUCUGAGAUAAUGGUUAAGAGGGACGGACGGGGGCAUUCGUAUCGCUGCGUGAGAGGUGAAAUUCUUGGACCGUAGCGAGACGUACGACUGCGAAAGCAUUUGCCAAGAAUGUCUUCAUUAAUCAAGAACGAAAGUCAGAGGUUCGAAG